UAAUACGUAGGGGGCAAGCGUUGUCCGGAAUCAUUGGGCGUAAAGCGCGUGUAGGCGGCCAGAUAAGUCCGCUGUGAAAUCUCGAGGCUCAACUUCGAGCUGUCGGUGGAAACUGUCUGGCUAGAGUCCGGAAGAGGAGAAUGGAAUUCCUGGUGUAGCGGUGAAAUGCGCAGAUAUCAGGAAGAACACCCGUGGCGAAGGCGGUUCUCUGGGACGGUACUGACGCUGAGACGCGAAAGCGUGGGGAGCGAACAGGAUUAGAUACCCUGGUAGUCCACGCCGUAAACGAUGG
rnacentral:rRNA from 1 species